GAACAGGGCACUGAUAACAAGCAGGUUAGGGUUUAAAUAACCAUAAAACACUGCUGAUUGUUUCAAAUGGGUCCUUUGACCCCAGAACAUGUGUGUGCUUUAAUAUUGUGAUGACACUUGCAUUUUUGCAUCACGUUUGACGUUUUUGGGGCAGCGCUAUAAGAUUUCAUGGUACUGCAGUGGCCGGCAUCCUUAUUGAUGCUGGACCUGAGUGCUUUAGCAGACACGGCUCGGGCAGAAAGAU